rnacentral:rRNA from 1 species
AACGAACGCUGGCGGCAUGCCUAACACAUGCAAGUCGAACGAGACCUUCGGGCCUAGUGGCGCACGGGUGCGUAACGCGUGGGAACCUGCCCUUAGGUUCGGAAUACCUCAGAGAAAUUUGACCUAAUAACGGAUGAGGUCAUCGGACCAAAGAUCUAUGGCCUUGUGAUGGGCCCUGGUUGGUUUAGCCGGUUGGGGGGGUAAAGGCCUACCAAGGCCAGGAUCCAUGGCUGGUCUGAGAGGAUGAUCUGCCACGCUGGGGCUGAGACACGGACCAGACUGCGACGCAGGGGAGCAGUGGGGAAUAUUGGACGCGGGGGGAUAGUCUGGUAAAGCAGUGUCGGGUGAGUGGUGAAGGCGUUAGGAUUGCAAAGUUCUUUUACCCGAGAUGAUAAUGACAGUAACGGGUGAAUAAGCACCGGCUAACUCCGUG